UGCCAGGUGGACGAAUAGCAAGUCGCUGUAGCUCUGAACUAUAGAGUCGUGGGUGCAACCCCUACCCUGGCAGCCA
rnacentral:tRNA from 1 species